rnacentral:lncRNA from 1 species
AAGUUUAAUUUUGGACCAACUUGAAAACUGGGCCCAUAAUAAACUAGAGGCUCUAAAGAGCCUGUGUCGCUCACCUUGGUCUAUGUGAAUAUUAAACAAUGGACACAGAUGGAUUCAUGACAAAAUUGUGUUUUGGUGAUGGUGAUGUGUUUGUAGAUCUUACUUUACUAAACAUUCUUGCUGCUUACAAUUAUCUCUAUCUAUAACAGUACUUUCUGUGGAAAAUGUUAUUGAAAAUCUUCAAAUUUUAAGAAAAUUGUUAAAAAUUGACUAUGAAGGGCAAUAACUCCUAAAGUGGUCAACUGACCAUUUUGGUCAUGUUAACUUAUUUGUAGAUCUUACUUUGCUGAACAUUAUUGCUGUUUACAGUUUAUCUCUAUCUAUAAUAAUAUUCAAGAUAAUAACCAAAAACAGCAAAAUUUCCUUAAAAUUACCAUUUCAGGGGCAGCAACCCAACAACGGAAUGUCCGAUUCAUCUGAAAAUUUCAGGGCAGCUAGAUCUUGACCUGAUCAACAAUUUUACCACUGUCAGAUUUGCUCUAAAUGCUUUGGUUUUUGAGUUAUAAGCCAAAAACUGCAUUUUACCCCUAUGUUCUAUUUUUAGCCAUGGCGGCCAUCUUGGUUGGUUGGGCGGGGCACCAGACACAUUUUUUAAACUAGAUACCCCAAUGAUGAUUAUGGCCAAGUUAGGUUAAAUUUGGCCUAGUAGUUUCAGAGGAGAAGAUUUUUCUAAAAGAUUACUAAGAUUUACGAAAAAUGGUUAAAAAUUGACUAUAAAGGGCAACAACUCCUAAAGUGGUCAACUGACCAUUUUGGUCAUGUUGACUUAUUUGUAGAUCUUACUUUGCUGAACAUUAUUGCUGU